CCUACGGGAGGCAGCAGUGAGGAAUUUUGCGCAAUGGACGAAAGUCUGACGCAGCGACGCCGCGUGGGCGACGAAGCUCUUUGGAGUGUAAAGCCCUGUCAGGUGGGACGAAUCCCGAGGAGGUGAACAAUCUCUUCGGCAGACGGUACCACCAGAGGAAGCCCCGGCUAACUCCGUGCCAGCAGCCGCGGUAAUACGGAGGGGGCAAGCGUUGUUCGGAAUCACUGGGUGUAAAGGGUGCGUAGGCGGUCCGCUAAGUCUGAUGUGAAAGCCCUGGGCUCAACUCAGGAAUUGCAUUGGAAACUGGCGGGCUUUUGAGUACCGGAGAGGGAAGCGGAAUUCCUGGUGUAGCGGUGAAAUGCGUAGAUACCAGGAGGAACACCGGUGGCGAAGGCGGUUUCCUGGCCGAGUACUGACGCUGAGGCACGAAAGCGUGGGGAGCGAACGGGAUUAGAUACCCCGGUAGUCCACGCUGUAAACGAUGGGUGCUAGGUGUUGGAGGUAUCGACCCCUUCAGUGCCGUAGCUAACGCAUUAAGCACCCCACCUGGGGAGUACGUUCGCAAGAAUGAAACUCAAAGGAAUUGACGGGGGCCCGCACAAGCAGCGGAGCAUGUGGUUUAAUUCGACGCGACGCGAAGAACCUUACCUAGGCUUGACAUGCACUGGAAAGCCGUAGAAAUACGGCCUCCCUUCGGGGCCAGUGCACAGGUGGUGCAUGGCUGUCGUCAGCUCGUGUCGUGAGAUGUUGGGUUAAGUCCCGCAACGAGCGCAACCCUCGUCCUAUGUUGCCAGCGGAUAAUGCCGGGGACUCAUAGGAGACUGCCGGGGUCAACUCGGAGGAGGUGGGGAUGACGUCAAGUCAUCAUGCCUCUUAAGUCCAGGCUUCACGCAUGCUACAAUGGCUGGUACAAAGGGCUGCAAACCGCAAGGUCGAGCGAAUCCCAAAAGCAGUCUUCAGUUUCGGAUUGGGGUCUGCAACUCGACCCAUGAGUCGAGUCGCUAGUAUCGCAGAUCAGCAACGCCGCCGGGUGAAUACGUUUCCGG
rnacentral:rRNA from 1 species